rnacentral:sRNA from 1 species
ACAUAUUUUUUUUCUUGGACUUCUUGGCGAUGGAUCCCCCACCGGCUCAGGCGAUGAACACCGACGACUUCACGGACAAGACCAUGGAUGAAUGUUGUUCUUGCUGCUACGAUUGCUGCUCCAGCAUCCUGGAUUUCCUCUGCUGUUCUUGAUGCUGCCCCUCGUCAACCUUGCAGAAACUUCAUGGGUGCUGACGAUGAGUGAAUCAGAAGUCUCGGUGAUAUAUUUUGGGCUGUACAAGUUAUUGAAUUCUUAGAUUAAUUCUUCCUCCCUUGCGUUGUAACUGAGAUUUGUGCGUCACUUUAUGGAUGAUUUUGGGAGGAAAUUUGUGCACUAUCAAGUUCUGAAACAUCGAUUUGUCUUCCAGCC